GUUACUAAGAGUUUGUACUAAACAAAUACCACCAAAGUUAUUAUAAACAGGACAUACAAUACCUUUCACAUCCUUUUGUGCAGCCAUGUGGGUCUCUACUCUAUAAACACUUAAAACAAGAAAAAAAAACAGUCCAUUUUGUAUCAGUGUUUGGUUUUAGGAAGGAUGUGUGCAAAACAAACCAUUUGAAAUGGUUUUUGAUUAUGACAUCGCAAAUGGGGAAAUUAGAAUAGAACCACAUCUACAAUGCAAGAGAGAGCUGCUACUGGAGAUCUAAGAUAAGCCCCUCUAAGAUACUGGAGCUUCUCAGCUUAUAGCAGCCUGAGUGGGGGAUGGGUGGGCGUGGCCAGCUCAACCUUGUUUUCUUAAAGCGACAGAACCCUGAAUCUGCUCAUUCUGGAAAGUACCGAAUCUGUCGAGAAUGAAUUUCUGAAAUUGCUUCAUGUGAGAGGAAUUUAGUGCAACGAACCUAAUGAACUGACCAUAGAAAUGUUAUAACCUAAAAAGUCACAGCAUGUCUGCUUUAACAUUUGCAGUGGGGUUUGUUUGGACAGAGACAAAAACACAUGCAUGAUACACAGACUCACCUCACCUCUGGACACCGUUUUAAAGUUUUAAAACUGCAAAACAAACACACAAAUGAUCUUCUGAGUACAACUUUGCCACCAUAAUGUCUUUUAAAGUUGCAUUACUUUUACUGCUUUUGAAAUAAAAACAGAUGAUUGUCUGUUAAUUUUCUUUGAAACCGCCUGGCAUGCCUUGGUGUCACAAGUGUAAGUCACAUGGGCAGCAUCACUGUAUCUCUAUGUAAACAGAUCCCAGCAUGCUAAAUCAAAGCCUGCUCCAUCUCUCUGUGAGGCAACACUCCUAACCAUUCUGCUUCUGUGACACCAUCUGCUGGGUACAGUAUGUGCUGAGUCCAUAGAGCCUUGUUAGAAAGCUCUUUACGUGGGCAGAGAGCCACAGUUACAACAGAUAACCAUUAUUUCUAACCACAGGCGUCCCUUAACUUAAAAAUAGCACAAGCAGAUCUUCCAGAACGGACUACUCUGUGGUCACAAGACUCCAAUAACAUCAGAGUUAUCAUGCCACGACGACCCAAUGGUCCAGCUCCCAGAUGGUUCAGGAAAUAUCGGACGUGUCUUCUUCUCUCCUCCCUUAGUGUGCUGAGUGCACAUUAGCCCGACCUGUAAAAAAAUGUACGUAAUUGCCUUUGCAAUUACAUUUGUCAACAUCACAGAUCUGCUGUUUAAUUUUUGGUCCUGAAGACUGAAAGAUGGGUGUGUAUUGUGUAGAAGAAACUGGCUUGGCUCACACUGUAAAAAAAGUCAGUAGAAUUAACAGGAAAAUUUCGUAAAAUCUCAACAAAAAAAAGUUGUGGAGCACAAUACAGUGUUAUGGUGUUUAUUUUACAGCAUGAUGUUGUAUAAUGUUGAACAGACAAUUAUUGUAAUUUUUAAAAUAAAAAAUGUGAAUACUAUUGUAUUUUCAUGUGAAAAACACAGAUUUGUGCAAUUUGUACAGAGAAAAGUUGUAACUUUAGAAACAACAUAAAUUGUAUUUUUUUACAUUUUUAUGAUGUAAAAAAUACACAAUUUAUAUUGUUUUUAAAGAUACAACAUUUCUCUGUACAGUAUUGUGAUUAUUAAAUUAUGAAUUUAGUGUUUGGCUGAUUGACUGGAUGUCAAAUUUUAUAGGCAGCACAUUUGUUUCUCCAUGAAAAUCAGACCAAAACAAUCCAGCAAGUUUCAAAGCCCAGAUUUAUAGUGUUUCGGAUUCUCUGUAUCGUUUACAAACUUUUUCUAUUUCAUCAAUAUUUCUUACCAACAUCUAUUCUAAGUGUUCCUGUUACCAUGAAAUUUUACAUUUUCAGUAAUAAUUUAUAAAAAAUAAAUACAUUUUUAACAAUUGCAGUUCCCCUCCUCAUCUGCUAGGGGCUGGUUCCAGAUAUCAAGUUCCUAUUGAGUCCCAUGUUAAAAAUGCCAAAUACACAGCAGAAAAUAAUGUUUACAGGUACAAAAAAAUACCUUACCCAAUGACAGUGAUGGACUGAGUGGGUUGAGCCUGCAAUUGUCUGAUCAUGGAGCAGACACUUAACGCUUCUGCCACGUAACCAGAAGUAGAUGGGUUUGACUUAGGCUCCCCAUUUUCCAGGAGUGACAAGACAGAUGACAAGGCCAAGAUGGCAGUGGUGGGACUGGCCCACUGGGCUUCAGUUCAUCUCUUCAGAAACCCACCAGUGAUGGCACAGAUUAUUAGUCAUUGUGUGACCCAGGAUUUUAGGGGCUCCAACAGAAUGCGUAUAGUGGUUGUAAAAAUAAUUUGAACAGAUAAAGAUUUCAUGCAUUCAAGUUUUGCCUUAUUUCCUUGUCCCAAGUGCAUUAAAUAAAACACAUUUAUCAAAAAGGCUGUAGCAAAUAAUCACGUUUCACUUUACCCUUAGUCGAUGAUAUAAGAUACAUUUUAUAAUGCAGAAAAUCAAAGUGAAGCAAUUGUCUUUGCAAAACUGAAAGUAAAUAAAUGAAUAUAUGAGGAAAUAAAUAAAUAAAUGAGGAACUAAAACUAAAAAUAGAAAGAAAUAAACUAAUAAAUAGAUUAAACAAAGUUCUAACAAAACAUUUAAUUAUAAAUAAAUUUAUGUCAAUGACAUAAAUUUAUUUAUAUAAUUAAACAAUGACAUAAUGUCAUUGUUUAAUUAUUUCCAAUAGUAUUUUCUCAUUUAUUUGUUUUUGUUCUAUUUUUCAUUUUUGGCAGCAUCAGCCUUCCGUACAUCAUGCCGUCACAAACGGAGACAACACCCAACUCAACUGGAACAUUAUACUGAGUUCUUUGCUACAAUCUCAAAAUUUCCCCCACUGUGGCCAAUAUAGGUGCAAGGCUAGUGAUUUGUAAGGUAUGUAGCUCAUGGCAGAAGACACUUCACUCUUCCAGCUCUCCGUUCUGCCCUCGUUCUCGCGUGACUUCCGUUUGGAUGAAGUUUGAAUUAACGGCUCUGACUCAGGCUGAAUUCCGCCCGAAAAUUUUCUCCCGAGGACCCACAGGACCACGUCAACGUCAAGUGUCUGUAAGCUAACUUUCAUUUCCUUAAAAUGUAAAAAGCACAGUGGUUUGUUUUUAGGGGAUUUUUUUUCUUUUUUGUUUCAUCGUGCAGCAAAGCUAGUUAGCUUAGCUUUACCGGAGCUGUAGCACUUUGAAGUUUUCUAGCAUUGUUUAAACAUGCUUGUCUGCACAUUUUGCAGUAAAACUUUACAGUCACUGAGGGGCUAUGUGUUGCACUGCAGAGUGCACAGAAACGAACCUAGUUGUUUAUUCAAAUGCCUCGGCACUGAAUGCAAACGGACAUUUUGUACAUAUGCAGCAUUUAAAACUCAUUUUUACCGAGUUCACAACGUGCUUUCACAUCCUGAAUCAGCUAAAGCCGUUGUUGAAAACUUGAAGUGCGCCAUUUCGUUGUGUGGGCGCCAAAGUCAAACCGUGCAAGAACUUGUUGCUCAUUUAAAGGAGCAUAUAAUGGAGGGACGGCCUGUUGCGUGUCCAGUAAAAGGCUGUAAAAAGAAUUUUACUGUUAAAUCGUCAUUCACAGCUCAUAUGUCCCGUAAACAUAGAGGCUUUACUGCGCUCAAUAUUGAUGCUUUGUACAAGGAAAGCACAUUUCAGAUUUGUGGUGAGGCAGAAGAAGAUGGGCCAGGCGAGAGCCCAAAUGGCACACUGACAAAUGAAUUGUCUCCGAAUUUCAGUGAGGCUUUCCUCAGAAAUUUGUGUCAUUUCUACCUAAAACUUCAAGGACAGCUGCUUCUACCAGCAUCCUCAAUACAGACCAUCGUUGAAGAGAUGCAAAACGUACAUGAGCUGGGAAUGGAUUACACUUUGAGUAAACUGAAGUCACUUUUAAAAGAUGACAUUUGUCUAGCAGAUGAUGUUAUUGCUAAAGUAUGUGACUGCGUGAAAGAUUCAGAUCUUUUUUCUGUUUGUCAUCGAGGACCACUAAGAACAACAUAUUCAAGAGCACAUACAUUCAAAAAAGUGUUCAAAUACACAGAACCAAAACAAAUUAAUUUAGGGAAUGAUGAAAACAUGACUCAGAGAUUUUACUACUACAUACCCAUUAAACAGACACUAAGUAUACUUUUAGAAUCAGAAUUAUGGAAGAAUUCAGUGUUACAACAGUCCAGUGAAACAAACUCUGAUGUUUUCUAUGACAUAAGUGAUGGACAAAACUUUCAGUGCAACCAGUUCUUCAUUGAAAAUCCUGGGUGCCUGAAACUCAUUCUGUACCAAGAUGCCUUCGAAAUUGUAAAUCCUCUUGGUUCAGCUAAAAAGAAACACAAAGUUGUUGCUGUUUAUCUAUCUGUGGCUAACUUACCUGUUCAUGUCCGGUCAAGCACUGAUCACAUGUUUCUUGUUUCAUUGUGUGCAGAGAAAGAUUUAAAACAGUUUGGAACUGCUAAGAUUUUUUCAGAACUUCUCAUGGAUUUAAGAGAUUUAGAGGAAAACGGCAUUGUUGCAGGUGAAGAAAUUAUCAAAGGAGCACUCUUCUGUAUCGCUGGUGACAAUUUGGGAUCACACAGCAUCGGCGGGUUUACUGAAAACUUUAGUACCUCUAAGUACUUUUGUAGGUACUGUGAAAUCACACGUAAAGACUUUGAAAAUGAUCCAAAUGCUUGUGGUCCACAGCGCACCCCUGAAGCUUACAACUCUGCUGUCCUUCAUCUACAAACUGGAAGCAAUCAAGACGUCAAAGGAGUCAAGGUAAACUCUGAGUUUAACUCACUAAAGUCUUUUCAUGUCUGUGAACCUGGCCUUCCACCUUGCUUAGGCCAUGACUUAUUUGAGGGCAUCUUGUCAUAUGAUGUAGCACUGUACUUGAAAUAUUUUGUAAAAACAAAGAAAUGGUUUACUUAUUCCUUGUUGAACCGGCGAAUCAAACAGUUCAAGUACAAAGGAUCAGAUGCUCUCACAAAGCCAUGCUCAGUCAACUCUGAGGCAAACAGGCUUUCAGGUCAGGCUGUUCAAAACUGGAACCUGUUGAGACUUUUGCCUGUGAUCAUUGGUGACAAGAUACAAAAUCCACAAGAUGAUGUUUGGCAGACAACUCUCCAACUCAAAGACAUUGUUGAUUUGGUGUGUGCACAAAAAAUGUCUUUGCCACAAGUUGCCUAUCUUGACAUAAUAAUCCAAGAAUAUUUGGAAGCUCGAAAAUCUUUAUUCCCUGAAACUUCUCUUAAACCAAAACAUCAUUUCUUACGGCACUAUCCAGCACUAAUUUUGAAAUUUGGCCCUUUAAUUAGGUUGUGGACAAUGCGUUUUGAGAGUAAACAUGGCUACUUUAAGAGAUGCGCAAGGCAUUUAAAAAACUUUAAAAACAUAUGCCUAACACUGUCAGAAAGACAUCAGAUGUUUCAGGCAUACAUUUCAGCGGGCAGAAGCUGCAAUCGGCUGCUGCAGGUCAACGACAGUUGUGUUUUUUACUCCAACCUGUACAGCGAUGCAAUAAAACAGGCAGUAAAAGACCUUGGAUUUUCAGAAAACAAUACAAGUGUUUCCACAGAAAUCCAAUAUAAGGGAACAUUGUACAAAAAGGGGCAGUUCCUAGUAUCAAAAUAUGAUGAGUCUAUGGAGUUUGGACAACUUGUUUUAAUCCUCAUUCAAAAUGAAAAUGCAGUAUAUUUUGUUGUGGAUGUACAAACAGGUGUCUAUCAUUCUGAACACCACCUCUAUUCAGUAACAAAACAGAGUUCAAGCACUUUGUGUCUUAACAUAAAUGACUUGGUUGACUUUUACCCUUUGACAUCUUAUGAGGUAAAUGGACAACAAUUUAUUCCUCUGAAACACAGUGUGUUUUCAAAAUAGAAAAGUCUUUGAGUACUAUGAUGGAAAUCCCACUACAAAGCAAAACAGGGAAAGAAAAGAUUGAUAAAAACUUAAGGAUGUACAUAACUAAAAAGUGUGAGACAGAUAUGAUAUAUUUGACAUUAAGUGGAAGGCUUUUUGAUCUGUACAUAGUUCACUAAAUGUUUAAUUAAAAUUAUUGUCGUCUCUCUUAAAAUCUUGUCUAUUUUAUUCCAGAAAUGGCAGAACAAACAUUUCUACGUGGUGCUAUCAAUGACGUAUUGCCUGACCUCGCAGAGGUUUCAAAAGAAAUCCUCGAAGAAACUUUAAAGUCAAUUGGAGUGGAAACUUACAACGACUUCCAAUUUAUUGCCGAGGAUGACUUGCUAUCAGCGUUGAGGCCAGUACAAGCCAGAAAAGCCCUUGCUGCUUGGAAAUCCAGAUGAUCGUGAAAGCAGCAGGUCUCCAGUUUGUACUUCACCAGAAACUCCUGCAUCUCUGCAUUCUUCUUCCCCACUGAGCGUGUCAUCAAACUCCAACAGCAACCAGACAUCUGAAAUCGACUGGGUGGAUACCUUUGAGAUACCAUGGAGAAAGUUUCCAGAGGAACUGAUGCAGUCAUUGGAGAGAGGAAAACGGCCAAGUCCAAAAAUGAGGAGGGAGAUGGUC